UGGUUUUGGGGAAGAGGACGGUGGAGGGAGAAAAAGGAAAGGAGAAGAGAAGAAAGUAGAGAGGAAAAAGAAAAAUGAAGGAAGGAGGUAGGAGGAGAAAACAGAGGUGAGCUGUAGAGUUUGGGUUCUCGUGAGCGAGAUCGGGUUGAGUUCUGUGGAAAGGCAAAGAGGGGUUAGUUGAAGUGAAAGGGCUUGGCCCUCGGAUGGUUCUGUCCUUGGUUUGUGACAGUUAAAUAUCAGAGAACAUGGGACAAGAAGUAAUCAAGAAGUUAAAGGUGAUCAAUGGGAACACAUUACCAGUUGGAUAUGGGAGUCCUAAGGGUGAUGCUGGGCAUGUAGUCCUUGGGUCAUCAAAGAGGUCCAUUUUUCAAGCACAGGGAAAGCUUUGCAGACCAUUUGUUAAUUUGGGCCAAGAUGUAACAAAUAGGUUAAAGUUCAAGUUAAAGCGAAUGGAAAUGCGAGCACUGGGAUAUGAGAGUUCCAAGGAUGAUGCUAGGCAGGUAGUCCUUGAAGCAUCAAAUAGGGGCAGUUCUCUUCAAGCGCCGGAAAAGCAUGGCAAAAUAUUGGACAGUACGGGCCUAGAUGGGCGUGCAGUACCAGUUGGAUUGGACAGCUCCAAUGAUGAUGCCACACACCCUGUCCUUAAGGCAUCAAAGAGCUUUCUUCAAGCACAUGAAAAGCUUUCUGAAAAAUUGGACAAUUUGGGCCAAGAUCUAACAAAAAAGUUAAAGGUCAAGUUAAAGUUAAAAAAGGGAUUCCACGGUUGUGCAGUACCAGUUCUAGAUGAUGGUCUCAAGAGUGAUCCUGGAAACCUAGUCUUUGAGGCAUCAAAGAGUUUCGAACAUAGUAUCGGCGGUUUGAUUGAUGGGGAUGGAACCACUAAAGUAGAUCGGCAUACUCAGAUGGACGCCAAGUUGAUCAAGCCGAGAUUUGUACGGAUAUCUGUCACGGAUGGUGAUGCAACAGAGUCCUCCAGUGAUGAAGAGGCUGAGCCCUUGGCCACUUGUCACCGAGUCAAGAAGUUCAUCAAUGAGAUUAUGAUUGAGUCGUCCCCCAACAAAAAUGAUAGUGGUGUUUGGAGGAGCAGGACAACAAGGAUGUGGCAGAAGAAGAUGGGCGGAAAAUCUGGACUUCCAGCUACUUGCCAAAUGUUGAAGGCGCAGAUAACCUGGAAGAAGUUCUGUGGUGCAAAGGCACGGGCAAACAAGAACAAGUUCCUAGGAGUGAGGCAGAGACCCUGGGGAAAAUGGGCAGCCGAGAUUAGAGAGCCUCAUAGUGGAAGACGACUCUGGUUGGGUACAUUUGAUACGGCUGAGGAUGCAGCUAUGGUGUACGACAAAGCAGCCGUCCUGCUGCGUGGACCUGACACUUUCACCAACUUCAGCACACCUCAGGUGGCAAAUGAGGAAGGCAAUCUGUAAUUGGAGGAGAUGUUUCAGACUUGUGACAACGAUUUGUCUACGCGUAAGUAUGUAGUGUGCAGCCAAAAUUAUAGACACAGUGGGGACUGGAAAAUCAACGAUGAAAGGGCAGACCAAAGACUACAUUGUACUCGAUGUUCAAGUGGAGUUGUUCGUGAAGAUGAAAUCUUUCUUUAUAUGUGCUGUCGACUACCAGAGUGCUGAGUUCUAUGUCAAGAAUUCAAGAUCAAGGUGAAAUUGGUCUCUUAAUUCUUUGAACAAUUGCUCUCGAUGAUGUGACUGCUGGAUACAUGGUGUAUUGUGGCAUAUUAGACAUAGAGCACACUGAUCAAUGGACUUUCUCCUCAAAACAGGUCUUCUGUUUUUUUCCCAUCUCUAUUCCAACAUUUUGCGCACAGAUUUUACAUUAAGAUAUACAGAAUGGAGUGAAGAAAUCUACUGGUAAUAAUGAAUUACAUAGUUUAAAUGAGAAUACUGAAGACAUUAAUGUGGUAAUAGUUGAUGAGAGAGUUGGGAUGAGAAUAGCGCGUCUAAAUGAAUACUUGCUCAAUUGGAAAAUAACUGGUGUUCCUCUUCAAAAUGUAGUGGACUAUUACAUACUAUAACACUUCUAAUCCUAUCCAAGUAAGUAAAAUAGCAGUUUAUUUCCUUAAGCAGUCAUUACUUGUCAAUUUCUACGAAAGGUAAGGUAAUGACAUAGCGGUAGUACUUCUAUCAUAAUGAACAGAAAACUAAGGAUCUUUCAAAAUGAGAAGCCAGGGACAAAUAAAUACUUGGUGGUUGGUACUUUAAAACCUAUUCAAGCUGGUUGUUUCUUUCUCCUCAGUCCUCACUGUGGUAUACAGUAUUAAUAUUGAUGAUGAGUUUGGUGAUGUUCUUAUUAAAACGAGUCUCAUGUCAGGAGCUAUUAUGUCCAACUGCUUGAUCUAACUGGCCUCAAAAGUAUUACUACAGCAGAUAAGGAAGGGAAGGCCAAUUGCUUACAACAUUGCCUUGGAUGAUCUCCCUUUGAUCGUGGCAGAACAGACGGUUUUGGUUUUGUUUUCUGCUGAAAAUUAGAUUGAAGAGUGAUGUUAAAUUGAUAUGCUAUAUUCAAAGAGUUGGGAUUCUUAUGGUUUGUAUGAUAUUCUGAUAUAUUGUACAGGUUAUAGCGUAUUGAUUAUUUUCUCUC